ACUGCUAUUUGGGUGAGGAUAAGCCAUGCGAGUUGGAUGGGAUACCUAAAGUUCCCAUAGCAAACUGCUUAGUAACACAUGAUCAACUUGCCCUAUGGAGAAAACUAACCUCGGGAAACUGAGGAUAAUGUUUCAUAGUUGAGUAGGCUUGGAAAGGUUUUUCAAUGAAAGGAAUAAGAUAAAUGGUUCUUAUUUGCCAUAGGAUAGGAUCGUGGUCGAUUAUGGUAGUUGGUGAGAUAACGGCUCACCAAGCCGAUAAUCGAUAGGGGCCGAGAGAGCGGGAGCCCCAAGAUGGGUACUGAGACAGCGACCCAGGCCUUACGAGGCGCAGCAGGCGCGAGACCUCCGCAAUACACGAAAGUGUGACGGGGUUACCCAAAGUGUUCUCUUAAGAACUGUGGCAGGUGAGUAAUGUCCCCUGCUAGAAAGGAGAGGGCAAGGCUGGUGCCAGCCGCCGCGGUAAAACCAGCUCUUCAAGUGGUCGGGAUAAUUAUUGGGCUUAAAGUGUCCGUAGCCGGUUUAGUAAGUUCCUGGUAAAAUCGGGUAGCUUAACUAUCUGCAUGCUAGGAAUACUGCUAUACUAGAGGGCGGGAGAGGUCUGAGGUACUACAGGGGUAGGGGUGAAAUCUUAUAAUCCUUGUAGGACCACCAGUGGCGAAGGCGUCAGACUGGAACGCGCCUGACGGUGAGGGACGAAAGCCAGGGGAGCGAACCGGAUUAGAUACCCGGGUAGUCCUGGCCGUAAACGAUGCAUACUAGGUGAUGGUACGGCCAUGAGCCGUAUCAGUGCCGUAGGGAAACCGUUAAGUGUGCCGCCUGGGAAGUACGGUCGCAAGGCUAAAACUUAAAGGAAUUGGCGGGGGAGCACCACAAGGGGUGCAGCCUGCGGUUCAAUUGGACCCAACGCCGGGAAACUUACCAGGGGAGACAGCAGAAUGAGGGUCAGGUUGACGACCUUACCUGAUGAGCUGAGAGGAGGUGCAUGGCCGUCGCCAGUUCGUGCUGUGAGGUAUCCUGUUAAGUCAGGCAACGAACGAGAUCCGCACCUUUAUUUGCCAACAAGAAGUUACGACUUCGUUGGGAACACUAAAGGGACCGCCGUCGAUAAGACGGAGGAAGGAGCGGGCAAAGGCAGGUCAGUAUGCCCCGAAACCCCUGGGCUACACGCUGGCUGCAAUGGUAUGAACAAUGGGCUGUAACUCCGAAAGGAGAAACCAAUCCCGAAAUCAUAUCACAGUGGGGAUUGUUGGCUGUAACCCGCCGACAUGAACGUGGAAUCCCUAGUAAUCGUGUGUCAUCAUCGCACGGUGAAUACGUCUCUGCUCCUUGCACACACCGCCCGUCGCUCCAUCCGAGUGUACUAAAAAUGAGGUUUGGUCAGACUGGUCAUAUCGAGUUUCUAGUAUGCGAGGAGGGAGAAGUCGUAACAAGGUA
rnacentral:rRNA from 1 species